GAUGAACGCUAGCGGCAGGCUUAACACAUGCAAGUCGAGGGGCAUCAGGGAUUGUGCUUGCACAAUCCGCUGGCGACCGGCGCACGGGUGCGUAACGCGUAUGCAACCUACCUUUAACAGGGGGAUAACACUGAGAAAUUGGUACUAAUACCCCAUAAUACUUUUGAAGGCAUCUUUAGGAGUUGAAAGUUCCGGCGGUUAGAGAUGGGCAUGCGUUGUAGUAGCUAGAUGGUGAGGUAACGGCUCACCAUGGCGACGAUACAUAGGGGGACUGAGAGGUUAACCCCCCACAUUGGUACUGAGACACGGACCAAACUCCUACGGGAGGCAGCAGUGAGGAAUAUUGGUCAAUGGACGCAAGUCUGAACCAGCCAUGCCGCGUGCAGGAUGACGGCUCUAUGAGUUGUAAACUGCUUUUGUAUUAGGGUAAACCUUAGUACGUGUACUAAGCUGAAAGUAUAAUACGAAUAAGGAUCGGCUAACUCCGUGCCAGCCGCCGCAGUAACAC
rnacentral:rRNA from 1 species